rnacentral:tRNA from 1 species
GGGGGUUUAGCUUAGUGGUAGAGCGCUUGCCUAGCAAGCACAAGGCCCUGGGUUCGGUCCCCAGCUCUG